UACGAGGGGGGCAAGCGUUGUUCGGAAUUAUUGGGCGUAAAGGGUGCGUAGGCGGUUUGGUAAGUCUUAUGUGAAAUCUACAGGCUCAACUUGUAGUCUGCAUGAGAAACUGCCGGGCUUGAGUAUGGGAGAGGUGAGUGGAAUUCCUGGUGUAGCGGUGAAAUGCGUAGAUAUCAGGAGGAACACCUGUGGCGAAAGCGGCUCACUGGACCAUAACUGACGCUGAUGCACGAAAGCUAGGGGAGCGAACGGG
rnacentral:rRNA from 1 species